rnacentral:rRNA from 1 species
AAACAUGUCUUUAUNNAUUAUUUUUAAAKUCUAACCUGCCCAAUGAAUAAUUUUUAAAUGGCCGCAGUAUAUUAACUGUGCAAAGGUAGCAUAAUCAUUAGUCUUUUAAUUGAAGGCUGGUAUGAAUGGUUGGACGAGAUAUUAAYUGUUUCAUAAAAAUUUAUAAUAGAAUUUUAUUUUUUAGUCAAAAAGCUAAAAUUUAUUUAAAAGACGAGAAGACCCUAUAAAUCUUUAUAUUUAAUUUAUUAUAAUUUUAUAGAUUAUUUUUAUUAUAAUAAUUAAUAAUAUUUUAUUGGGGUGAUAUUAAAAUUUAAUAAACUUUUAAUUAUUAAAAUCAUUAAUUAAUGAAUAGUUGAUCCGUUAUUAACGAUUAAAAAUUUAAGUUACUUUAGGGAUAACAGCGUAAUUUUUUUGGAGAGUUCUUAUCGAUAAAAAAGAUUGCGACCUCGAUGUUGGAUUAAAAGAUAUAUUUAGGUGUAGUCGCUUAAAU